AUGGCGAAGGUCGUGGCCGUCGUGGCCGUGGCCGUCGUGCUUGUGGCGUGCGUGUUCCUGGCCAUCUGGAAGUACCGACGGCAGGCCAGAACCGUUGCACGCACACGGACACGGUCACUCGAGUCAUCCACGGCUACGCCGCAGGCCAACGGCUCCGCGAUCCUUGAUCCAGUAUCUCUGUCUCCUUGGGAUCUGCAGAAGGCUACCAAAAACUUCACAACGAUUCUGGGACAUGGAUCAUUUGGUCUUGUGUACAAGGCUGUAAUGGCUACUGGUGAAGUCAUGGCUGAAAAGGUUCUUGUGACGCCACUGCUACUUGGUGCCCGCCGCACCCAAGGCAUCGGUUGCUGUCCCUGUUCUCCUGGUGGCCCUCUCAUCAUGCGUUCACUUGGUCGAGAGUUCGUCACAGCCGCUGAGGAACAGUCUAAUACAGAAUUUUAUAAUUUACAUGUUAGUUGCAGAGUGACUCCCAGGAAAAUUACUCAAAUUUAUCUAAUGGGCAAUGACAAAUUAAGAAUGGCAGAGACCAUAGCAGACCAUUGCAAUGUGGCAACCCAAAUUUCAAUUCAACAGUGUUCUGUGCGCAUCAGUACAUGUUUGACAUAG
rnacentral:rRNA from 1 species